AGUGAACGCUGGCGGUAGGCCUAACACAUGCAAGUCGAACGGCAGCACAGUAAGAGCUUGCUCUUACGGGUGGCGAGUGGCGGACGGGUGAGGAAUACAUCGGAAUCUACUUUUUCGUGGGGGAUAACGUAGGGAAACUUACGCUAAUACCGCAUACGACCUACGGGUGAAAGCAGGGGAUCUUCGGACCUUGCGCGAUUGAAUGAGCCGAGGUCGGAUUAGCUAGUUGGCGGGGUAAAGGCCCACCAAGGCGACGAUACGUAGCUGGUCUGAGAGGAUGAUCGGCCACACUGGAACUGAGACACGGUCCAGACUCCUACGGGAGGCAGCAGUGGGGAAUAUUGGACAAUGGGCGCAAGCCUGAUCCAGCCAUACCGCGUGAGUGAAGAAGGCCUUCGGGUUGUAAAGCCCUUUUGUUGGGAAAGAAAAGCAGCAGGUUAAUACCCCGCUGUUCUGACGGUACCCAAAGAAUAAGCACCGGCUAACUUCGUG
rnacentral:rRNA from 1 species